GGUUAAGCGACUAAGCGUACACGGUGGAUGCCCUGGCAGUCAGAGGCGAUGAAGGACGUGCUAAUCUGCGAAAAGCGCCGGCGAGGUGAUAUGAACCCUUGACCCGGCGAUGUCCGAAUGGGGAAACCCAGUGCAAUCCGUUGCACUAUCGUUAACUGAAUACAUAGGUUAACGAGGCGAACCGGGGGAACUGAAACAUCUAAGUACCCCGAGGAAAAGAAAUCAACCGAGAUUCCCCCAGUAGCGGCGAGCGAACGGGGAGCAGCCCGGAGUCUGAAUCAGCUUGUGUGUUAGUGGAACGGUCUGGAAAGUCCGACGGUACAGGGUGAUAGUCCCGUACACGAAAGCACACUUGCUGUGAACUCGAAGAGUAGGGCGGGACACGUGGUAUCCUGUCUGAAUAUGGGGGGACCAUCCUCCAAGGCUAAAUACUCCUGACUGACCGAUAGUGAACCAGUACCGUGAGGGAAAGGCGAAAAGAACCCCGGCGAGGGGAGUGAAAAAGAACCUGAAACCGUGUACGUACAAGCAGUGGGAGCCUCUUUAUGGGGUGACUGCGUACCUUUUGUAUAAUGGGUCAGCGACUUAUAUUCUGUAGCAAGGUUAACCGUAUAGGGGAGCCGAAGGGAAACCGAGUCUUAACUGGGCGUUAAGUUGCAGGGUAUAGACCCGAAACCCGGUGAUCUAGCCAUGGGCAGGUUGAAGGUUGGGUAACACUAACUGGAGGACCGAACCGACUAAUGUUGAAAAAUUAGCGGAUGACCUGUGGCUGGGGGUGAAAGGCCAAUCAAACCGGGAGAUAGCUGGUUCUCCCCGAAAGCUAUUUAGGUAGCGCCUCGUGAACUCAUCUUCGGGGGUAGAGCACUGUUUCGGCUAGGGGGCCAUCCCGGCUUACCAACCCGAUGCAAACUACGAAUACCGAAGAAUGUUAUCACGGGAGACACACGGCGGGUGCUAACGUCCGUCGUGAAGAGGGAAACAACCCAGACCGCCAGCUAAGGUCCCAAAGUCAUGGUUAAGUGGGAAACGAUGUGGGAAGGCACAGACAGCCAGGAUGUUGGCUUAGAAGCAGCCAUCAUUUAAAGAAAGCGUAAUAGCUCACUGGUCGAGUCGGCCUGCGCGGAAGAUGUAACGGGGCUAAACCAUGCACCGAAGCUGCGGCAGCGACACUAUGUGUUGUUGGGUAGGGGAGCGUUCUGUAAGCCGUUGAAGGUGUGCUGUGAGGCAUGCUGGAGGUAUCAGAAGUGCGAAUGCUGACAUAAGUAACGAUAAAGCGGGUGAAAAGCCCGCUCGCCGGAAGACCAAGGGUUCCUGUCCAACGUUAAUCGGGGCAGGGUGAGUCGACCCCUAAGGCGAGGCCGAAAGGCGUAGUCGAUGGGAAACAGGUUAAUAUUCCUGUACUUGGUGUUACUGCGAAGGGGGGACGGAGAAGGCUAUGUCAGCCGGGCGACGGUUGUCCCGGUUUAAGCAUGUAGGCGGAGGUUCCAGGUAAAUCCGGUACCUUUUAACGCUGAGGUGUGAUGACGAGGCACUACGGUGCUGAAGUGAUAAAUGCCCUGCUUCCAGGAAAAGCCUCUAAGCAUCAGGUAACACGAAAUCGUACCCCAAACCGACACAGGUGGUCAGGUAGAGAAUACCAAGGCGCUUGAGAGAACUCGGGUGAAGGAACUAGGCAAAAUGGUGCCGUAACUUCGGGAGAAGGCACGCUGAUGUGUAGGUGAAGCCCCUGCGGGUGGAGCUGAAAUCAGUCGAAGAUACCAGCUGGCUGCAACUGUUUAUUAAAAACACAGCACUGUGCAAACACGAAAGUGGACGUAUACGGUGUGACGCCUGCCCGGUGCCGGAAGGUUAAUUGAUGGGGUUAGCGGCAACGCGAAGCUCUUGAUCGAAGCCCCGGUAAACGGCGGCCGUAACUAUAACGGUCCUAAGGUAGCGAAAUUCCUUGUCGGGUAAGUUCCGACCUGCACGAAUGGCGUAAUGAUGGCCAGGCUGUCUCCACCCGAGACUCAGUGAAAUUGAACUCGCUGUGAAGAUGCAGUGUACCCGCGGCAAGACGGAAAGACCCCGUGAACCUUUACUAUAGCUUGACACUGAACACUGGUCCUUGAUGUGUAGGAUAGGUGGGAGGCUUUGAAGCGUGGACGCCAGUCUGCGUGGAGCCAACCUUGAAAUACCACCCUUUAAUGGCUGGUGUUCUAACGUAGACCCGUAAUCCGGGUUGCGGACAGUGUCUGGUGGGUAGUUUGACUGGGGCGGUCUCCUCCCAAAGAGUAACGGAGGAGCACGAAGGUUGGCUAAUCCUGGUCGGACAUCAGGAGGUUAGUGCAAUGGCAUAAGCCAGCUUGACUGCGAGCGUGACGGCGCGAGCAGGUGCGAAAGCAGGUCAUAGUGAUCCGGUGGUUCUGAAUGGAAGGGCCAUCGCUCAACGGAUAAAAGGUACUCCGGGGAUAACAGGCUGAUACCGCCCAAGAGUUCAUAUCGACGGCGGUGUUUGGCACCUCGAUGUCGGCUCAUCACAUCCUGGGGCUGAAGUAGGUCCCAAGGGUAUGGCUGUUCGCCAUUUAAAGUGGUACGCGAGCUGGGUUUAGAACGUCGUGAGACAGUUCGGUCCCUAUCUGCCGUGGGCGCUGGAGAAUUGAGGGGGGCUGCUCCUAGUACGAGAGGACCGGAGUGGACGCAUCACUGGUGUUCGGGUUGUCAUGCCAAUGGCACUGCCCGGUAGCUAAAUGCGGAAGAGAUAAGUGCUGAAAGCAUCUAAGCACGAAACUUGCCCCGAGAUGAGUUCUCCCUGAGACUUUAAGUCUCCUGAAGGAACGUUGAAGACGACGACGUUGAUAGGUCGGGUGUGUAAGCGCAGCGAUGCGUUGAGCUAACCGAUACUAAUGAACCGUGAGGCUUAACCUU
rnacentral:rRNA from 1 species